AUGAACGCUAGCGACAGGCUUAACACAUGCAAGUCGAGGGGUAACAGGGUAGCAAUACCGCUGACGACCGGCGCACGGGUGAGUAACGCGUAUGCAACCUGCCUAUAACUGGGGAAUAGCUCCCUGAAAGGGGGAAUUAACACCGCAUAACACUAUUGAUUCGCAUGGAUUGGUAGUUAAAUGUAGCGAUACAGGUUAUAGAUGGGCAUGCGUGACAUUAGCUAGUUGGUGAGGUAACGGCUCACCAAGGCUACGAUGUCUAGGGGUUCUGAGAGGAAGGUCCCCCACACUGGUACUGAGACACGGACCAGACUCCUACGGGAGGCAGCAGUGAGGAAUAUUGGUCAAUGGGCGCAAGCCUGAACCAGCCAUGUCGCGUGCAGGAAGACUGCCCUAUGGGUUGUAAACUGCUUUUAUAGUAGAAGAAACACAUCUACGUGUAGAUGUCUGCCAGUAUACUAUGAAUAAGCAUCGGCUAACUCCGUGCCAGCCGCAGC
rnacentral:rRNA from 1 species